rnacentral:rRNA from 1 species
CUAUCCAUGUCCAGGUUGAAGCCGCCGUAAAAGGCGAUGGAGGACCGAACCCACAUCCGUUGAAAAGGGUGGGGAUGAGGUGUGGAUAGCGGAGAAAUUCCAAUCGAACCCGGAGAUAGCUGGUUCUCCUCGAAAUAGCUUUAGGGCUAGCCUCAUACAAGUCUGCCGGAGGUAGAGCACUGAAUUUCCGCGGGGGCGUCAAAGCCUACCAAAGAAUAUCAAACUCCGAAUGCCGGACAGAUGGUGUAUGGGAGUCAGACUGUACGAGAUAAGUUGGACAGUCAAAAGGGAAAGAGCCCAGACCGCCGGCUAAGGUCCCAAAGUGGGUGUUAAGUGGAAAAGGAUGUGGGAUCUCUAAGACAACCAGGAUGUUGGCUCAGAAGCAGCCAUCAUUAAAAGAGUGCGUAACAGCUCACUGGUCGAGAGGUCCUGCGCCGAAAAUGUCCGGGGCUGAAACACCACACCGAAGCCGCGGAACCCGUAAGGGUUGGUAGAGGAGCAUUCUUAGGGGAGCGAAGCAUUACCGGAAGGGGAUGUGGACCGCUAAGAAGAGAGAAUGCCGGAAUGAGUAGCGAGAGCAAGGUGGGAAUCCUUGCGGCCGAAUAUCCAAGGUUUCCAGAGUAAAGCUGAUCUGCUCUGGGUAAGUCGGGGCCUAAGGAGAGGCAGAGAUGCGUAUCCGAUGGACAGCAGGUUUAAGAUUCCUGCACCCCUUGUUAUCAGAACUGCGGGGACACGGGAAGGGAAGCAGAGCCGGGAAUGGAAAGCCCGGUGCAAGCGAAGUAGUCGCAGGGUUGGAAAAUCCGCCCUGCAUGAGACGAAGGCGUGAUGCGGAGCGAAAUGAAGUAGUGAAGCUGCGGCCCCUUCCUGUCGAGAAAAGCCGCUAUCGUGUAGCAAGGGCCCGUACCGUAAACCGACACAGGUGGAUGAGGAGAGGAUCCUAAGGCCGGCGGGAGAAGUGUUGUUAAGGAACUCGGCAAAAUGACUCCGUAACUUCGGGAGAAGGAGUGCUGCGCAAGCAGCCGCAGAGAAAUGGCCCAAGCAACUGUUUAGCAAAAACACAGGUCUAUGCGAAACCGGAAGGUGAGGUAUAUGCUGACGCCUGCCCGGUGCUGGAAGGUUAAGGGGAGAGCUUAGCGCGAGCGAAGGUUUGAACUUAAGCCCCAGUAAACGGCGGCCGUAACUAUAACGGUCCUAAGGUAGCGAAAUUCCUUGUCGGGUAAGUUCCGACCCGCACGAAAGGCGUAAUGAUUUGG